GGCAUAUGUUCUAGUUAAAGAACAAACAGAAACAGAGUUCAGGAAAAAGUUUCUUCGGCCACCAUAUUUGAAAAUGAAACCAUUUCCAGGAAGCAGUUGGCAGCAAAUUCAUAUGGAGUGUAGACAAUGAUGAGCAAAAAGGUGAUUCGCAAUUUCUUUUUUUUUUAAGUGAAAUUAUUUGUUAGAUUGAAGCUGAUAUUGUAAGAAGGCCAUUGAGCUAACCUAUGUCGUCACUUGCCUAGAUUGCAGGGGGUCAAGACUCAAAAGAAGCACUGAAAUUUAAAAAGCAUGGAAUAGUUCUUUUGCCAUGUGUCAAUUAAUGCAAGUUUGAAUAAGUUUAUUGGCUGAACGAUGUUAGCUUCUUUUCCUUUCGUGCACUUUGGUAUGCUAUCAAGUGACAGCCGUAUGUAUGGCUUGCAUAUAGCUGCUGCUGGGAAAAUUGACGAUUUCAUGGCUGGCCGUGUUAUUGUCUUAAAUUAGUUGUGAUAAGCUGUUGCUUGGAGAUUCUGUUGCCAAGACUUUGCUCACAUCAGAAGCUGUGGAAUCUGAACCCUUCGUUAUGUAUCAUCUUUUUCAUUGUUUUAAAACUCUCAGGAUUAAACUUGAGCGAAUUUGUUCGGUUGUCUAUAUAAUCAUGUAUUGAGUAAACUCUCAGGAUACUGAGGGUGAGAGAAAUUAGAGGGUGUAUAGGGAUUUGGAUUUGUUAGGAAGUUAUCAUUUUUAUUUUUAUUUUUAUUUUUUUCCCAGAAAAUCUUCUGGUGGUGCUAUAUUUUCAAACGACAGUCCGAUUCAAAACUUGAUAUUCCAAUUAUAUUCAUAAGCUUCUACAGUUAUCUUCAAAAAGACAAAUGGAAGGCUUUGAACGGCUUGGGUCUGAGUAUUGUAGUUUGAUUUAUUUUGAUGAAAGUACCUUUUGACAUUGAGAUUCUUUCAUGAGUUAAACAUUCUUUUUAAAACCAACUUAUUAAAAAAAAAAAGUAACUAACAUAUAUUAUUUUGUUAGUGCUUUUUAAAUCAAAUAUAAAAAAGAGAACUGUAAUUCUUAGCAACCAAUUUUUCACUGAGUACACCUACAACAAACUAUUAAAAAAUAAAGUGAUAGAAAAUGCCUGAUUUUUCGUACUUUCUAAUUACUUUUGGUCCUAAAAUAUGGCAAUUUGUGUAAUAAUAAGCCCAUGUAUAUCUUUAUGCCAUUAGUUUGAUAAAUAGCUAUCAAGGAUAACUUAUUAAGCUAAAAAUAUUUGAAGGAUAAAUUGAUUUAUGCAUCCAAAGAUACAUUAUAUAUUUCUGUGUCUCUAUUUAUAGAUGACAUUUAAGCAUCCAUAAACCGUCAGACAGAGGAAGGGGGUUCAGUGCAAAGAUUCUGUUGACCUAGGGUUGACUGCAUAAUGUCACUUGUUCGCAAUCUAUUAUUUAUUUUAUAUUUUGAAGAAUUUAAUGGGUAAUCCUAAUUGUUUGUUUUGGCAGGUAUGUGUUGUUAUCUCCUUCUAUCUAACAGUCGUACCUAAAUAGCAUAGUUUCAUCUGUGUUACCAUGUGAUGUACAUAAUUUCACAUUUGCCUCAGAUUAAGCUUAAUUUCCCACAGAAUAGAGCUGUCGUGACUGGACUUAGGUUGAUGUCCAAAGAGGUAAAUUAUUGGCAUGCCUAGAUAAUUUGGCCAUUUCCUAAUUCAUAAGUCUACAUUAAUUUUGAUUUUGAGUUGACUGAUUUCUUUUCAAGGUCUGCUUCCUUAACGGAGUGACCAAUGUUUUUCAACUAAAUUUAUCAUAUGAUGCAGGAAGCAGGGCAGGAUAUGAAAUGAGAUCUCAUUGGUGGAAGUAUUGCCAGUAGCAGAACCCAAUGAAAAUGAAACUAUUUCAAGGCAGCAGUUGGCAGUUGCAAGUGAAUGGAGGCCCUUGACAAAAUUCUCAAGCGGUUGCAAUGAUGGUAAUUUCUUCUCCUGCUUUGUAUUUAUUUGUUAUCUAAUUAGGAAGCGUGAAGUAUCUUGAAUCAUUUUCUGUAUCUGGAAUAUAUGCAAGAGUUUCUAAAAUUUUGAUAUGAGUGUAAUGAUGGUAAUUUCUGUUUUCUGUCUGUCAUCAAAUGUUAGAAAACUUUCAUUGAGACCCUUGAACCGAGUCAUUUUUGACAAGUGAAGGACAAUUGCUGAAGAGUGGGAAUGGUGCUAGAUUGGGGAAUAAAGACAAAGGAGGUAAAUUAUUUGCAGUUUAUUCAGCAUUAUUUGCUUUGGACCACCGCCUGAUUCACAAGUCUCCAUAAUUUGGCUUUUGACCAGUUAAUAAAUUUUUAAUUCCAUUGGUGCUAAAUGUACACGUGAAGCAGGCAGAGCAGGACUGUGGAAAUGAGAAGGUUUUUAGUGAAAGCUUAAACUCAGGUAAUUCUAAAAAGUACAUGUUUUUGCUGAUUUAUCUAAAUCAGGAAAUUUUAUUUCCAUCUGUUACAAGAUAAAACAGAAACAGAACACAAAGAAAAAUAUUCUACUUCUUGUGGCAAUCUUGCCUUCAUUCAGACAAUGAAACCAUUUCCUUUCACCAAUUUCUUCCAAAAGUUUGAAUAAGUUUCAUGGUUGGACAUAGUUAGCUUCUUUUUCUUUUUGGUGCAUUUAGGUCCUAUCAAGUGACAGCCAUAAGUAUGAUUGCAUUAUUGGGAAAUUUUAGGUUUGGAUGGCUCCCCAUGUUAUUGCCAAGAAAGUCCUCAUGUCAGAAGCUGCGGUUCUUUUCAUCAGCCUGAACCCGAACCUGUCGUUAUGGAUAACUCAGGUUUUUGUCAUCAACUAUAUCAUCUUUUUUACUGUUUUGAAACUCUUAAGAUUAAACUUCAGUAAAGUUGUUUCAGUUAUCCAUGUAAUCAGGCUAAGGAUAUUUAGCAGCUUAUUUAGGCAACUGCCAGAAUUCAGUUUGUUUGCUCGAAACUUGUAUGGUGACAAGGAUACUGGCAAGGAUAGUGAGAUAGUUUUUUGUGUGAGUGAAAUUUGAAAGCUUGGGUGUUCUGGGAUUUGCAAUUGCAAUCAUCCUCUGAGUCAGGUGAUUUCUUCUCCUGCUCUGUCUUGAUUUUCUCUCUAAUUGAAAGCAUAAAGUAUUUCAAUCAAAUUCUGUACCAGGAAUACGUAAAAGUUACUAAUAUUUUAUUUCCAUCUGUUUGCAUUGAUAACUCGGCGGCAUAUGUUCUAGUUAAAGAACAAACAGAAACAGAGUUCAGGAAAAAGUUUCUUCGGCCACCAUAUUUGAAAAUGAAACCAUUUCCAGGAAGCAGUUGGCAGCAAAUUCAUAUGGAGUGUAGACAAUGAUGAGCGAAAAGGUGAUACGCAAUUUCUUUUUUUUUUUUUUUAAGUGAAAUUAUUUGUUAGAUUGAAGCUGAUAUUGUAAGAAGGCCAUUGAGCUAACCUAUGUCGCCACUUGCCUAGAUUGCAGGGGGUCAAGACUCAAAAGAAGCACUGAAAUUUAAAAAAGCAUGCAAUAGUUCUUUUGCCAUGUGUCAAUUAAUGCAAGUUUGAAUAAGUUUAUUGGCUGAACGAUGUUAGCUUCUUUUCCUUUCGUGCACUUUGGUAUGCUAUCAAGUGACAGCCGUAUGUAUGGCUUGCGUAUAGCUGCUGCUGGGAAAAUUGACGAUUUCAUGGCUGGCCGUGUUAUUGUCUUAAAUUAGUUGUGAUAAGCUGUUGCUUGGAGAUUCUGUUGCCAAGACUUUGCUCACAUCAGAAGCUGUGGAAUCUGAACCCUUCGUUAUGUAUCAUCUUUUUCAUUGUUUUAAAACUCUCAGGAUUAAACUUGAGCGAAUUUGUUCGGUUGUCUAUAUAAUCAUGUAUUGAGUAACCUCUCAGGAUACUGAGCAGGCAAAUGUUAUAACUCGGUUUGUUAGCCAAAAACUUGUUGAAGAUUCUUGACAAAGCUGCAUCAAGUGAAUUGUCGGAGCUCUGAGGGUGAGAGAAAUUAGAGGGUGUAUAGGGAUUUGGAUUUGUUAGGAAGUUAUCAUUUUUAUUUUUAUUUUUAUUUUUUUCACAGAAAAUCUUCUGGUGGUGCUAUAUUUUCAAACGACAGUCCGAUUCAAAACUUGAUAUUCCAAUUAUAUUCAUAAGCUUCUACAGUUAUCUUCAAAAAGACAAAUGGAAGGCUUUGAACGGCUUGGGUCUGAG
rnacentral:lncRNA from 1 species